rnacentral:lncRNA from 1 species
CCGAGUGAAACCAACAAUUUCAUCUGUAAAUGAGCACCCGGAUCUAUCAGUGAACAGACUCUGGAAUGUACCCGAGAAAUGAUAUGCAUGCAGAGAUUAGCUUUUUCUUUUUUUCAUUUUUCUUUCAAAAUUUUUUUUUUGCAUUUCUUUUGAAAAAUAAACAUGAUGUGAUGCACAUGAUGCAGACACGACUGGCAAGCUGUGCAUCUCUGAACACAGGAUCGAAGCUUCGGCUCGAGAUCUGAACAACAAUCAUCUGAAACCCAAAGUCAACUGGUCAACUGUCAUCUGAACCCAAUCUGAGGAACCGAGUCACCAACGGAGCAACCUUAAAUUCAGCCCAGGGAUCCGAAAUAAACGGAACCCUCUGAUCAAUACCGGGGUCAAACCUCCGGCGUCCAGAAAUAACGAUCCAUAAAUCCGACUUAUAAAUAUGACUCUG